AUCUAUCCCAGACCCUCAAAUGUUAAGGGACCCAAAUCUUCACUCUCUAAAUUCAGUCUCUUAUUGCUACUCUCCUCAGCACUGAGUUCUGUCCAUAACACAACUUAAAGAGUAAGAGUCAUGGACUUCAUGUGAGGAAAUAAUGGAGGAUUUCAGAAUUUAGAAUUUUGCAAGUGAAAAUACUCCUCCCUGGUCAUAUGGUCUUGCUGUGUACACACACCAGAGGUGCUUCUGAUCUGUUAUUCAAAUGAAUUCUCAAUGAAAAAAUAUGCAUGUGUAGCGAAGAGGAGAAAAAAUACCAUAAAUGCUCCUAUACUGGAACAGAAAAAUAUGGAGUCAUAGAAUGAUGACAAAAAUAGAUUAAUUUUUUUAUGUAGUGCACUGCGGUUAAUCCUUGUGCUCACAGUAUACUUUAUUUAGAACCACUGCAGAAUUCGUCCUCUGAUUUUUCUCCCUGAAAUUAGACUGUAGUGAUAUGCUUCAGACUUCAGAGGAGCCUAAAGGACUGUGGAGAUGAGCAGCUGCAUGGUACCUAAUGUGUCUGGGGUGAAACCACAACAGAACUAUGAAUAAUUCACCCUCAAGCUGCCAGCCAGAUCCACCUGAGCCACUUCAACCCUAGCAGCCUGAUCCACCUUCUGGAUCUUGUUUUGUUCUCCAGUAUCCUGGGUUAACCCACAACAAUGCUAUCCAGGUACAAGAAGAAGAUGUAUUAUCAUGCAACCAAGCCACUGACUAUAACAACUACUAAAUAAUAGAAAAGAGAAAGAGAUCCUGUGUCAAGUACUGUUUACCUGAGAAGUGCACUUACUGAGAUCUUAAAACAGUAUGUCCUGAGUUACCACAUCAGUCAGAAGUGUACCUUCCUUUUUCUGUACUGGCAUCUCUAAGUGACAAAAUCUAGUAUUUGGACACAUGGUGAGUUCCCUGCAGGAAAGCCACUGAGCAGAACACAUACAACUCAAGUGGAAGAUUGCUGUGCUCCAGUUUUCUGUCACCUCUACACAUUGGAUGCAGGAUUCCCUCUGUGUGUACCACAGGCACCUUCCAACCCCACUUCACACUCUUUUCAUCCACCUUCUGGCUACCGCAGAAAUGCAUGAAACCUGUAUCCAAAAAUCAUGCCAUUGUGAUGACUUCUGGAUUCCAAGAUAAGCACAUACAACUUUCCUGAACUUGGUACCUUUUGGUUAUUUUCAAGACAGAAACAAUGCUCAAGGAAGUGUCUCGUUUGUGGAACCCAAAGUUUGCCUCGACCCAGUGCUUUUGUGGACCCCGGUAUUCUCCCAGCUGCUUCUGCUGACCUCUGAGUAUGAAAACAGUUUCAGGCAGCAGCCACUCCUUCACAAAUCAUGUAUCUCCAAAAAAGGACCCUGAUAAAGAACACCUCCCUCCACCUUGUAAUCUGAAAGAUCUGCAUACCUAGCAGACAACACUGGAGAUGUGCUUGGCUGCUACCGCACAGAUUCCCCUGCCCCUCCACCUCCCACCAGCACUGAGCAAUGCUACCAGUGACAGGAAACGCACUUGGCCUUCCAGACAAGUCAGAAGAAAUCAGUGAAGGAUCAAUCUACGCAAAGGAUAUGGUUGCAGAAUAACCGGUCAGAUAUGCAAGGAGAGAUUUCUGCUAAGAGAAACAUGAUGCAGAUUCUACCUGCAGAGAAAGACUCCAUUUCAGCUGACACAGUGUAGCUUCUGCCAAUGAAUCAUAAGGAUCCUGGGCUCAGGAACAAUUGCAGCAAAAUGCAAUAUUACAUACUGUCCAGUGAAUGAAGAUGGAGGAAUCUAUACCUGCCCUUGUAUCAAUCCUGCCUUUGAUUGAUCUGCAUCUCAAAGUUGCCACUUCAUGAAUUUCACAAUUAGGGUUUUAACUUGUUCUUUGAAUGUGCAUUUAAGUUUCUUGCUGAUGUUGCUGUAGAGGUUGUUCUCCUAGUUUUCACUUUUGAGAAAAGUCUUUUGUCCUUGAUCCAGAUUUACAGAAUAAAGGUGUGAUGAGAACAGACAAGUUGAAGAUACCGGAAGAGUCCACAGGUGAAGGAACAGAGUUCAUCUCUGCUGGAUUUCUCUUCUUGUGAUGAAAUCAUAAUGUUUUACAAUGACAAGCCAGUGUAAUUAUCAUGCUAUGAAAACAAACCAUAGUAAAAAGUGAAAUGGGCAAAGAGAAGAAAAUACUCUGUAUACUUGACUGCUGUCAAAUUAAAAUGAUGUUGUACAAGACUUUCCCAGUAUGAGAAUGAUCUUCCUUAAAUAAAUGCGCUCAUUUUAACUUC